GACGAACGCUGGCGGCGUGCUUAGCACAUGCAAGUCGUACGGUAAGGCCCUUUCGGGGGUACACGAGUGGCGAACGGGUGAGUAACACGUGAGUAACCUGCCCACAACUUUGGGAUAACGCUAGGAAACUGGUGCUAAUACUGGAUAUGUGCUCCUGCUGCAUGGUGGGGGUUGGAAAGCUCCGGCGGUUGUGGAUGGACUCGCGGCCUAUCAGCUUGUUGGUGGGGUAGUGGCCUACCAAGGCGGCGACGGGUAGCCGGCCUGAGAGGGUGACCGGCCACAUUGGGACUGAGAUACGGCCCAGACUCCUACGGGAGGCAGCAGUGGGGAAUAUUGCACAAUGGGCGCAAGCCUGAUGCAGCAACGCCGCGUGCGGGAUGACGGCCUUCGGGUUGUAAACCGCUUUCAGCAGGGACGAAGCUUUUUGUGACGGUACCUGCAGAAGAAGCACCGGCUAACUACGU
rnacentral:rRNA from 1 species